rnacentral:snRNA from 1 species
AUACUCUGGUUUCUCUUCAGAUCGUGUGAAUCUCUUGCCUUUUACUAAAGAUUUCCAUGGAGAUGAUCAUUUCCGGGGUGUCUUCUGUGCCAUCCCCAAAGUCUGGAUUA